UCGCUGUGUCUCUCUCUGUCAAAUAAAUAAAUAAAAUCUUAAAAAAAAAAAUCCAAUAUAAAAAUCUUGAUACCAGUGUGGGCCCACGUACCAACAUCGAUAAAAUGAUUCAUUCAAGAUUAAAUGUAGAACCCUUUAGUACCUAAUGAAAGUUCUUAGACAUUAUAUAAAACAACAAUUGUUUCUUCUAAAAGCUUAUUUUCUUUCAGGUCAACAACCAAGUAUUAAAUCAUUGGAGAAUAUAAAACUUGAUAGGGUAAUAUUGGGGUUUCUUGGUGUUUUAAAAUCUUUCCGAAAAUUAUGUUUUGAAUCACUCACUACACGGAUGGAAGAGAAGGUAGAGGGAAAGGAUGCUGUCAGAAGGAAGUAUCUUUGCUGUGUCUGCUGUAAGAAGGCCCUGUUGUGAAUGCAUGGAGAUGACUGAGCCAAGUAUACACUAUGGGCCAGGAGUCAGAUUCUCACUUUACAUGCAGCUGCCAUUUUGAAAAAAAAGACAGUUGCACUGCCAUUAUUUCAUUUUAUAAUUCUUCUAAAAUAUGUUUUAAAAAUCAAUAAUUAUUAUUUUUUCCUCAUUCACAUUGGAAUAUUGGCCAGAUACUGAAACUCUUGAUGCCGUAGGGUGCAUUGUGCUUUAGUUUGGUCACUUUCAGGGCAAUAGGCCACUAAGUAAAACUGGCUUAGUUAAGGACACUUAAUUAAUACCAUAUGUCAAUAAAUCUGGAAGUAGGAAGUUCCACCAUUGUGACUCAGUGUUAGGCCCGCUCAUAGGCUUCUAGGCCCUUGGCUUCCCCUUUGGUUACAUGGGGCCUCCCAUUAUCAAGUCAUCACAUGUCAUAGGACUGCAGCAGAGGCAAGAAGGGUGGCAGAACCCAGCCCUGUGCAGCUGUCCUAUUAGAAAAGAAAACCGUUUCUUGAAGAUCUUCCUCUCAGGUCACACUAUUGGAACCCAUCAGACCACUCUUAGCUGCAAGGGAGGAUGGGAGAGCGAGGAUCUGGGGGGUGGCUGGCGACAGGUGGAUUCUAGUGGCAGGGAAGUCAAGGCAGUGAGAGUGGCUACUGAGCAGAUAAACCACAGUUAGCCGCACAUCACUGGUGAAAAUGAACUUUCAAGCAAUAUCAUUUAACAACAUGCCUAGUCUUCCAGAGUAUUUUGUUCAGGCUAUUAAGUAUGAUCUAGAUCCAAGAAAACCUUGAUAUCUACAUUUUUUUUUCCUUUUGAAAUUCACACAAUACAAUUCUCUGUACGGUUGGUGUGAAAUAAAUGUUAAACAGUUUA